GAUGAACGCUGGCGGCGUGCCUAAUACAUGCAAGUCGAGCGAACGGACGAGAAGCUUGUUUUUCUGAUGUUAGCGGCGGACGGGUGAGUAACACGUGGAUAACCUACCUAUAAGACUGGGACAACUUCGGGAAACCGGAGCUAAUACCGGAUAAUAUUUUGAACCACAUGGUUCAAAAGUGAAAGACGGUCUUGCUGUAAUUAAUAGAUAGAUCCGCGCUUCUUUAGUUAGUUGGUAAGGUAACGGCCUACCAAGGGAACGAUGCAUAGCCAACCUGAGAGGUUGAUCGGCCACACUGGACCUGGGACACGGUCCAGCCUCCUACGGGAGGCAGCAUCAGGGAAUCUUCCGCAAUGGGCAAAAUCCGGACGGAGCAACGCCGCGUGAUUGAUGAGGUUCUUCGGAUCGUAAAACUCUGUUAUUAGGGAAGAACAUAUGUGUAAGUAACUGUGCACAUCUUGACGGUACCUAAUCAGAAAGCCACGGCUAACUACGUG
rnacentral:rRNA from 1 species